rnacentral:lncRNA from 1 species
UGAUUGGAGGUGUGCUGAGUGUUCUACGCUGAAGUCCACCCCUUGAGACUUGGCAACAGUGAGGGAAAUCCUGAUUGGUGAUCUGGUUAGCCAAGACUCUCGGGUUGGUAGAGGCUCCUCUGGGGCACGAGCCCUGCGAGCUCUGCGCUUGGGCUUCGUGGAGUCCCACUGAGGAGAUGGCUACCAGGUCAAGCCUGACGGCUCCGUGGAAGGGGAUGACAGCCUUUCAAGGCAGAGGAAAUGUGUCCUUUCUAGAUAUGUCUCUAGAUGACAUUAUACUCCUUAAAAACUCAGGAGAUGGCAGCACUGAAGAAAAAAAGGGCAAGUUUGAGGAUGAUAUGAAAAAGCCAGGAACUUCAGGAGAACAAUCGGAUGCUCAUGAGCAUCCCUGGCAGAGAGGACAUGCAAAACACUCUAAGGAAAGAAGUGAUAAUGAUAGCGAAUCCAAAUCCGGCCAAGAAGAUUCUGUAUCCAAAUCUGGACAAAGCCCUUUAAACCAGCAGCCUUUACAAAAGCAGGAGAAAUGCAACGAUGAUUAUAAGGCUCAAUUGGAGGAAAAAGAGCAACAGUCGGAAGGAAAUCGAGACAACUUAGAGAGAUCUCAUGAUCAACCCAAGAGAUUUCAUGGGCAAUCAGAGAGAUCGCAUGGCCCCUCAGGGAGAUCUCAUGGCCACUCAGAGAAAUCUCAUGGCCACUCGGAGAGAUCUCAUGGCCACUCAGAGAGAUCUCAUGGCCGCCCGGAGAGAUCUCAUGGCCGCUCAGAGAAAUCUCAUGGCCACUCAGAGAGAUUUCAUGGCCACUCAGGGAGAUCUCAUGGCCACUCAGGGAGAUCUUAUGGUCAAUCAGAGAGAUCUCAUUGCCAGUCAGAGAGAUAUGGAAGAUACUUUCCAGGAAGAAGAUUCAAAACAUCAUUCAAAAGUGAUUCUCAAUUUGACGGGCAUUUUACAAUAAAAAAAGGAAAUGACUUCUUUUACAAAAGGAUGCCUCAAAGAAAUGAUCCAAUGGAUAUGAAUCGAGAGAUAACACUGGAAGAUGAGUAUAACUCCUAUGAAACCAAAAGAAGUUAUACAAGAUAUGUGAGCCAUGGAGAGAAAAUCUUGUUUCUAAAGAAUAGAAAUGUUGGGGAGGAUUCUCUGUACCAGCCCAAAGGAGUAUACUUGAAAUUCAACUAUCAAGCACUGGGAAAUAAGACUAAGCUUUCGCUCAACGACAGAUUCUCUAAACUGGAAGCUAUGAGAAAACCAAGAGUUUUCCUCAACAACUGAAGACCAGAAUGUUCUUUCCUAGUGAAUUAUGUUCAAGAGCAUAUGCUUGUUCUUUCAAUAGUUACUCUCUUACUGUUCUUGUUAAAGUAUUUUUCUCUAUGUAAGUUUUAAUGUAAUCUGCCAAAAUUAAGCAAUUAAAUAAAUGUUUAGCUUUGUUUGCAUAAAAUAAUAGGAAAGAAAGCAACAAUGGAAAUGAUUUCAAAUGACAGAUGUUAGGAAAAUAGCUUUUUCAAAACUAAAUGUCUUUUCAAUGUUAGAGAAUUUGUUUCUUUGAUUUUAUUGGCCUAAAACCUGCAUGACUCCUAAGAAGCCUCCAUUUUAUCAGUAUAACAAAGUAGUUGAUAAGUAUCUUUUAUCUAUGCCACAAGUCAGUCUGUAACUUUGACUUCUAAUCUUUGGCUAUUAAAAUUUUACAUUUGUGUGCUAGCUUUUACAUUUUUAUAGGAAUCUGUAGCUUUACUUUUGAGAUGGAUUUAUAAGAAUUUAAAAUUUCUCUGUCAUUUUUUUGUGA